CUAGGGAAGAGCCACAGUUCAAUGGUAGUGCAUCUGCUUUGCAUGCAGAAGGUUGCUGGUUCAAUCCUCAGCAUCUCUAGG